UACGUAGGGUGCAAGCGUUGUCCGGAAUUAUUGGGCGUAAAGAGCUCGUAGGCGGUCUGUCGCGUCGGCUGUGAAAACUCGGGGCUCAACUCCGAGCUUGCAGUCGAUACGGGCAGGCUAGAGUUCGGCAGGGGAGACUGGAAUUCCUGGUGUAGCGGUGAAAUGCGCAGAUAUCAGGAGGAACACCGGUGGCGAAGGCGGGUCUCUGGGAAACAACUGACGCUGAGGAACGAAAGCGUGGGUAGCAAACAGG
rnacentral:rRNA from 1 species